GCAGAUGUGUAUAAGAGACAGGUUAAUAAUACCAAUCAUAUCUCUUAAUACACAUAUUCACAUGAACUCAUAAUCCUUCAUUGCUUAUUUUCAACAUUUCAAUACUCUCUCCUAAUGCCAACCACCGUAUCAUUUAAACAUACCUAAUAAUUUCAUUAUUCAAUUUCCUCUCCCAUUUUUAUUUUUUAAAUAAAAAUUCUCAUUUUGCAAGCAGUGUGAUUCCAGGUUUCACGUCUCAAUACAAACAUGAUGACCAUAGUUACCUAUUCAUUUUAUUUAUUCAAUUUCAUAUC